GUCUCGCGAUAGCCUCAGGCCUGGCGGGGACUCCCAGGCUGAGGAACGAUUCUGGGCAGUGUUGUUCCCGGAGGUCGGCGGCCGUUGCCCGCUCACCAGCUACGCGGACACUGCCCAGCUCUAAGAUAGCCGGGAAAGAGGACUCUGUUGGCUAUUGGAAAUUGCAGAGUAAUGUCUCAAGUGACAUUUAGUGAUGUGGCUAUAGACUUCUCUCAUGAAGAGUGGGGAUGGCUCGAUUCUGCUCAGAGGGACUUAUACAAGGAUGUGAUGGUCCAGAAUUACAAGAACCUGGUGUCUGUCUUUCCGUAACUAAGCCAUAUGUGAUCACAUUGUUGGAGGAUGGGAGAGAGCCCUGGAUGGUGGAGAAAAAACUGUCAAAAGGUAUGAUUCCAGAUUGGGAAUCAAGAUGGGAAAACAAGGAAUUAUCAACAAAGAAGGAUAUUUAUGAGGAAGAUUCACUCCAAACAGUAACAGUAGAAAAUGUUUUAAAACAAAAUUAUGAAUUUUCAAAUUCUAAUAAGAAUUUGCAAUAUAUAGAGAAGUUGGAAGCAUGAAAUUUAUGUAGAACAUUUCAGACCAGCAACUCUCACCUCUAGAGAAGGCCCCACUGGGGACAGUUAUAAAUAUGACACAUUUAGAAACACCUUUCAUUCAAAGUCUACUCUUUCUGAACCACAAAAAAUUUUGCUGAAGGGAAUUCACACAAAUAUGAUAUAUUAAAGAAGAAUUUACCCAAAAAGUCAGUUAUAAAAAAUGAGAGACUCAAUGGUGGAAAGAAACUUUUGAAUUCUAAUGAAAGUGGAGCAGCCUUUAACCAGAGCAAAUCUCCUCACCAGACUUGUAAUAGAGAGAAAAUCUAUACAUGCAGUGAAUGUGGGAAAGCCUUUGGCAAACAGUCAAUCCUCAAUCGCCACUGGAAAAUUCAUACAGGAGAGAAGGCCUAUGAAUGUCGUGAAUGUGGGAGGACUUUUAGCCGUGGCUCAUCCCUUAAACGAGAUCAGAUAAAUCAUAGUGGAGAGAAACCUUACAAAUGCAUUGAAUGUGGGAAGGCCUUUAGCCAUGGCUCAUCACUUACUAACCAUCAGAGCACUCACACUGGAGAGAAACCAUAUGAAUGUAUGAACUGUGGAAAGUCUUUUAGUCGUGUGUCCCUUCUUGUUCAACAUCUAAAAAUUCAUAUGCAAGAAAAAACGCUAUUGAGUAAAAAAAAAAAAGAAAAAAAAAACCACUAUGAGUGUCGUAUACAUGGAAAGGCCUUCAUUCAUAGGUCAUCUCUCAUUCACCAUCAGAAAAGCCUUAUGAAUAUAGAGAAUGUGGGAAAGCUUUUUGCUGUAGCUCACACCUUACUCAACAUCAAAUAAUUCACACUAUGGAGAAACAAUAUGAAUGCAACAAAUGUCUCAAAGUCUUUA